rnacentral:rRNA from 1 species
UGGGGAAUUUUGGACAAUGGGGGAAACCCUGAUCCAGCCAUCCCGCGUGUGCGAUGAAGGCCUUCGGGUUGUAAAGCACUUUUGGCAGGAAAGAAACGUCGCGGGUUAAUACCCCGCGGAACUGACGGUACCUGCAGAAUAAGCACCGGCUAACUACGUGCCAGCAGCCGCGGUAAUACGUAGGGUGCAAGCGUUAAUCGGAAUUACUGGGCGUAAAGCGUGCGCAGGCGGUUCGGAAAGAAAGAUGUGAAAUCCCAGAGCUUAACUUUGGAACUGCAUUUUUUAACUACCGGGCUAGAGUGUGUCAGAGGGAGGUGGAAUUCCGCGUGUAGCAGUGAAAUGCGUAGAUAUGCGGAGGAACACCGAUGGCGAAGGCAGCCUCCUGGGAUAACACUGACGCUCAUGCACGAAAGCGUGGGGAGCAAACAGGAUUAGAUACCCUGGUAGUCCACGCCCUAAACGAUGUCAACUAGCUGUUGGGGUCUUCGGACCUUGGUAGCGCAGCUAACGCGUGAAGUUGACCGCCUGGGGAGUACGGUCGCAAGAUUAAAACUCAAAUGAAUUGACGGGGUCGUANCNGG